UGCACGGUGGCGCAGUUGGUAGCACUGUUGCUUUGCAGCUAGAAGGUUCUGGGUUUGACUCCCGGCUGGGGGUCUUUGUGCAU